AGUUGUCAUGGAAUCUGGUCUUUGAGAAGUGUAUGCCAUCUCCUCCCACACAUUCCUCUCCUGCAGUUGCUUUCACAAGGUGGAGUGCCUUCUUCUGCUCUGCCUUCCACCAUGAUUGUGAGCUUCCUGAGGCCUCCCUAGAAGUUAAGCAGAUGCAAGGACUAUGUUUCCUGCAGAACCCUUUGAAGGAAGCCAGCUAACACAUCACAAGGACACUCAAAAAGCACUUUAACAAGUCCACCUGUCAAGGAUCUGACAACUCCUGCCAAUAGUCAUGCUAGGGAGCCAUCUUGGAAGCAGCUAUCUCCCAGGCCAAGUGAAGCCCUCAGAUGACUGCAGCCUGGCGGGUAGCUGGACUGCAGCUUCAUGAAAGAUUCUGAGUCUGUCAUGUUCAAGUUACAAACAACCGUGACUGGAGAGGCAUGGGAACCUCAGAACUGAAAAGGAGAUGUGUGGGAUAACUGCAGUUGACUGAAAAUAAUUUAAACCAGGAACUUUUGCUUUCCUGCUCCCACCCAGCAAUGCGGCACUUCUUGCCCGGUUUAAAGGGCUAAUCUCAUCUUACCGUAUUCAGACAUCGCAACGAUCUUAAUCAAAGGAGUGACCAUCAUCGUAAAGCCAAAUCUUACCAUGCUUGUCAUUCCCCAGGGGAGCUUAUUGAAAAUAUUCUAAGAGAAGGCUAAUUUUCCUACAGAUUACCAAGAUUUUGCUCAUUUUUAUUGGAAGACAAGGCAUUAAAUGCAUUGGUAAAAAGAAUGCUAGUAUCUUCAAAGAGUGCUGUAUUGGCGGUUUUCUAUAGGAUAGGGACACUAGAGUGAAAAUCUGUGUGAAAUCAGUUCAGCUCUGACUUCAAUAAAGAUAAAACUACCCUCUGUACUGAGGUCCGGUAGCAACUGUUAGCCCUCAAAGGCACAGUGGGCAUAGGUGUUGUAAUACGUAGAAAAUUCAAUAUUCUACUUAAAAGUUUAACCUGUAGAAAUUUUGCAUUUACUAAUCAGAUUAUGACCCCAUGACAAACACAAGACCAGUGGCUUGAGGUCAGAUUUAAUUUGUCCCAUUAAAAUAAUACUACUACUAAUAAUAAUAACAACACAUAGGUCUGGCAACAAAGGCCUGGUUCAAAUCAUCAUAUUUAGAAAGCUGUUCUAUCAAAUUUGCAGCCCUAAAUCACCCCUGAAUCAUUUCAAAGACCAGAACUCCUGUAUCACAGAUUACUAGGCAGGGCAAAUAUUCUACUUGAAUGAUGAGUGAUAAUUUCGGGGGGUAUGCUACGAUAUUCAGGAAAUCACAAUGUGGUUGUGUAAGAAUCAGGUAAUAAAUUCAAUUCCCCCAUAUGCCUUUCAUAUUAGGCCAAUAAGGACUGUAAGCCAUAAGAUGCUUGCUUUCCAAUUAUUUCAGUAAAAAAUUAUAAUAGAAGAACACUGGGUGCAUAAGCUAUUAUGGAGUAAUAUCAAUUAAGGCAAAAAUACAAAGUGAAGCUUCUUGUUUCUGCUAAUAACGUAAAUCUAGAGUCACAUUGCUUGCUUUUCAUGCUUGAUACAAUUCCAGGAAUUUGGGAAACUUGCAGCCCUUGAAAAUUGUGAAGGGAGUAUUCAUAUUCCAUCUCCAAUUAACUCAGUAUUUUGGCUAAGGCUUCAACAUAGAGUUUUUCUAAUUAAAACUGCUAUUCCUGAUGUGGUAGCUUUACCAGUGGCGUGAUUCUUGGCACCAGGGAUAAUGCUUCCUCUCUGGUAUAAACUGUUUUCUCUAUAACUGUAAACAGAGAAUAUCAGGAACGGUUUUUCCUUCAUAUGUCAGUCACAAGAGUUAAACAUUCGCAUUGUAUUCUGGGGUUAAGUAAUUUCUCAGCAUCUGUGCUACAAUUUAUUUUACAAGGAUGUAGAUCAUCUCAUUGUGCCACAAGACACAUUUUGUUAAUGACCAUAAUACUGAAAAAUAUAAACUGUGAAAGAUGUUAAAAAAAACAAAACACCGGCAAGUAGCAGGUAUUCUAGCUGGCAUGAGGAUUGAAAAUAAAUGUUAUCUACAUUGAGACUCUGGUGAUUCUAUGCACAUUUGGAUUUCUUCUUCAAAAUGAAGAACAAGUAACUUCUUCAUGUCCCCUUACUAACAAAGAUGUACAAAUGCUGGAAGCUGCAUAAAAUGAUUUCCCUGGUGACAGUAUUGAUAAUGAUGACUUCAGUGGUCUGUAUUGGUGUGGCAGAUGUGCCAGCUGCAGUUCUUUGGCUCCUCGAUGCCCUCAAGAGAUUGCUUCUGCUAUUGUGAUUUCGGGCUUGUUCCGGGCAUAGGGUCUGAGCCAGCACCUCCAAUCCUCCUGUUGAUUCCGUGAACUAUCCAAUCCAAUGUCUUUAAAUAAAUUCCUUUUCUACUGCAGUGAGAUUCUGUUCUUGCAAGAAUGCUGACUGAUACAGCUAACUGAGGCCUCAAGGGCAAUCAUAGUCUGCAGUUCAACAAGAUUUGAACAAAUAUUUCUUGAAUGUCUACUGUGUACCAAUCACUGUGCUAGUUGAGGGUUAAAACCACAGUAUUAAUAAUUAUUACUGCUAUAUUAAUAGUAAUUUUAUCAGAAUUUUGUUGAGAUUUUUUUGACGAAAUUAUAUAAUUAUUAUGAAAACUUAACGGUUAGCUAUUAUUUUCUUUUAUAAUUUAUUUAGUGUUUUUCUAUGUGCUGUGCUCAGCAAUUUACAUGGAUUAUCUCAUUUAAUCCUUACAACAGUCCUAGGAGAUGGGUACUUUCGCUGAUGAGAAAACUUCCCUAAGCAAGGUUCAGCUGCUCAAAGUGACAGUUAUUAAUUAAAGCCCAGAACAAACCAACUCUGAGAAAAGAAAGGCUCCUGCUUUAAUAAACGUAAACUAUUGUAGAGUUGACAGAGAAAUAAAAUUAUGAUUCCCUACACUUGAAGGGAGCUCUUGUUUGGUAGACGUUUAUAAACAUUAUCAUAUCCAAUCUCAGAAUAACCGUGCGGUAUGACAGUCUGGGUUUUUGAGAUGUGGUGUAAAAUAAAUUUGAAUUAUAGGAUCAUUGCCAGAGUAACCUAUGAGAGGAAAAUAAUAGACCUGAGGAAACAUAAAAGGGAAGAUAACUUUAUAUUUCUGUGAGGAUCAGGACAAUUUUUUUUUUUUUUUGUAUUUUUCCUUUGCAAAAACCUAAGACAGAAUAUCACGUAUACUAUGAAUUAAGUAUACAUUUCUUAAAUGUCUUAACCAGUUAACAAGAUUCAGAAGGAAAUGGCUGAAUCUAAAUAGAAAUAUCUACAGAACAGUUCAUGUGAAAAAGCAGAGCUUAGUCACAGAAAAUAUGAAGCCCCGUUUUAUGUGUCAUGGGCCACGAAUGACCCGUGGGGAAAAAAACCUUGAAGUAAAAUAUGUAUUACAGUGCUAACCCUUAAUACUAACAUGGAUACCGAGAAUCCAGGUUGAAAGCAAACUGCAAGAUAAAAACAUAGAUACAUUCCUUAACUUACGGAUAAGAAAAUGGCAAAGGAAGUUUGGGUGGAAAAAUUACAAUGUGUGUAAACUGCAGAUCGAUGAAUUAUUAGUUGAAAUAUCCUGCAAUAACCUGCGAUCAUUGGCUAUAACCAAAAUUAGUAGUACAUAUUCAUGACUACACAAGUAAAAUUCAUGUUCAGUACGUUUUAAGUCUUUAGCAUUCUUCUAGGCCGUUAACAGUCUUAACUCUGUACCUCAGUUAUUGCUGUAAUGCCUGCUGUAUUAAAACAGUAAUCAUGACUUAGGUAUGUUGAGUGCGUCUUUCCAAGUGUGAUACCUCCUAGGUAAGGCCUAGAGAAAGGCUGCAAUAUUUGCCUACCAGAUCAAACUCAGUUGAAAGCAUGUACCCACUAGCAGAUGAGAAAUCCAGCUAGAGAGACGGUGGUGACACAUAAUCCCAGAGGAGGGAUUUUUCUGCUGGCCUAAGGGGUCAGUGUGGUUGACUAGAUGCCCCUCAUAGGUCACUGGUUUCUUAUUGGACAUAAAGAAAUCAGGAGAUGUACACAAGCAUAUUGCUGGUUUUGAUUGGUUGGUUGCUUGUUUGCUUUUAUUAAAUAAUCAACAGUAUGUUGAUCAACACCUAAUGGAGAGAGAGUUGGUGGAAAACACUCCACACCCUUUGAAGAGCAAGUAAUAAUACCCUCAAAGAAAAAAACUCUUUCUUUUAAAUAGUAAAUACUUGCUUGGCCCUAGUCCCUCUCAUAGGCCAGAUAUUAAUUUUUGCUCCUUUUCCCCAAUAUAAAUGGAGGCCAAAUAAGUUGAGUGAUUUCCCUAGGAAUAAAGAUCUACAGAAAAGUUAAAUUAGUACUUAAACUAAGAAAUUUCAUUCAUAAGUUGUCUUUCACAUUAUGUUGCUACCUGAAAUGUUAGAUAUGUUAACUGAAAAUGUGUAAUAAUUAUUAAAAUAAUACUAAUUCACAUAUUGUGUAACUAUUAGGAAAGUUAAGAAAAAGCAUAAAAAUAUUAUCCACUAGCCACACUGAGUAUUUCUACAUACUACUGGGAAGAAUAGGGAACUUGUCAAUGAUUUUGCCCCAUGAUAUUCGGCUGCAAUCUGAUUUUUAAAAAUUUUUUCUUCUUGUCACACCCAGUGGCUCAUGCCAGUAAACCCAACACAUCGGGAGGCCACAGCAGGAGAAGUGCUUGACACCAGAAGUUUGAGAUCAGUUGGCACAAUAUAGUAAGACCCCAACUCUACAAUUUUUUUUUAAAUUGCCCUGUUGUGGCUGUAGUCCCAACUACUCAGGAGGCUGGGGUGAGAUAAUCACCUAACCCUGGGAGUUUACAGUGAAUGGUGAUUGCACCACUGCACUCAAACUGGGUGAGGGAGCAAGACCCUAUCUCAAAAUUUUUUUAAGAAGUCUUCCUUGUAGUGGUUUUACAUGUAAUGGAAGUGCCUACUAGAUGAAAAAGAAAAACAAUGUGACUAAAUUUUUGGUAAGUCAAUAUCAGUGCUUUGGGUGACAAAUAAAUGGCUAACUCCUUAUAUACUAGUUAAAUUUAUUCUCAAAUAAUUAAAUAUUGGCUUUUGUGUACAUGAGAUGCUAUGCUCUUUAUUUUUAUCAUGUUAUGUUUAUAAAUGAGUUGCCAUGUUUCUUAGUUGUUGAAGACUUUUUUCUCCGGAUUGAAUUAAUCAAAGGUGGUAUGCGUUAUACUCUUCCAUACAGUUUCUAUAGUAUUACUGAAAUUUGUCAGAAAAUGAACUUUAUUGAAUAAAAACUAUAUGUGAUGCUUCUAAUUGGUCAUGUUUAUUGAUUCCAAAUUAAAACAUCUCAGACUGUGGCAUUAAUAAUUUACAGAUAAUUGGCAACUGUGCUAACUUGUUUAUCAUGAAUUUGGCACCAUUGCCAUUAGUCUCAAGCUGGGAUGUUUCCCCCCAUCCUCCUCCUUAGGCAAUUCCAGUUUACACUUUAUCAAUAACAGAAAGUCACGUGGGAUGCGGAAGGCUGACAGAAGUGGGAGCCAUCAUCCUCAGAAGUUUAUGAUAAGGAAUAUAUGACAUUUGAACAUAGUCUUUCCCAAAAUGCAGAUAUGAUGGCUCCCACAAACAGAUACAACAGCUUCCACAGAAAUGGUAGCAUGUCCAAGAACAGCAGCUUCCAAAUACCUCCCCAAGGUUCCCCCUUCACAGUGGCCAGAUGCAUGCAGACUCUUGAACCUGUCUGCAAACUAGGUUUUCUAUCCAUGCCAGGGCUUUGAAAUUAAGAAUGUUUCUCUAGUUCUCUUUCCACCUUCUUCAUUUCCUUUGUCUUCUCUACAUCUUCAUGUGAGCACUAAUUCCCAUUUCAAACCCCUUAUUUCUAUCAUAUUUUUGGAUAUUUAUUUCCUGUUUAAACUCAGAUGAACAAAUCAAGUAAUGCAGCUGCUGUUAGUUUUCUAUUACACACAUUCUGCACUCAUUACAACCGGAAGACUGACUCUGUUGUGGAUAGCAAUGGAUCCGGAUAUGAAACCACUUGCAGUAUCGGGUGUAUACAUAGCAACCCAUGUGGCCAAUGAGAAAAAAGCAAGAAUCUGUAUAUGAGGGAAGGGAUGCAUUCAUGGCUAAUGUUUUCAGUUUAAGAUUUAAGGUCUUCGCCUUACUCCCUAUUGAGGUUUCCUGUGUCCUCUGGAGUAAAAUGCAGACCCAAAGCUGGAGCAGCCACAUUGUAACCAUGAGGAAAAAGUCAAGAGAAAGGGAAAGACACUGGACUUCAUCUCCUCAAGCCCUUGACGUGGCACUGGCACUACCAUUUCAUUGCCGUUAUACACAGAUAGUUGUCAUUGAAAAUGAGCAAGAAAGAGCACGAAUGGAAGCCUUUAAAGGUCCGAAGGUAGUGAGUUAUCUCGAUUGUUCACAGUCAGUUACAGAUCAAACUCCUUGUUCUACUCUUUCCCCCUUCUCACUACUGCACUUGACUAGUCAAAAAAUAAAUAAAUAAUUAAAUAAAGCAAUAACUCCUAAACUACUUAUCUCAAAAGCCUUUAUGUUAUUAGAAAUUAUUGAAGAUUCCAAAAAGCUUUUGUUUGUGAAGAUAUUUUA